AAAUUGAAGAGUUUGAUCAUGGCUCAGAUUGAACGCUGGCGGCAGGCCUAACACAUGCAAGUCGAGCGGUAGCACAGAGAGCUUGCUCUCGGGUGACGAGCGGCGGACGGGUGAGUAAUGUCUGGGAAACUGCCUGAUGGAGGGGGAUAACUACUGGAAACGGUAGCUAAUACCGCAUAACGUCGCAAGACCAAAGUGGGGGACCUUCGGGCCUCAUGCCAUCAGAUGUGCCCAGAUGGGAUUAGCUAGUAGGUGGGGUAACGGCUCACCUAGGCGACGAUCCCUAGCUGGUCUGAGAGGAUGACCAGCCACACUGGAACUGAGACACGGUCCAGACUCCUACGGGAGGCAGCAGUGGGGAAUAUUGCACAAUGGGCGCAAGCCUGAUGCAGCCAUGCCGCGUGUGUGAAGAAGGCCUUCGGGUUGUAAAGCACUUUCAGCGGGGAGGAAGGCGAUAAGGUUAAUAACCUUGUCGAUUGACGUUACCCGCAGAAGAAGCACCGGCUAACUCCGUGCCAGCAGCCGCGGUAAUACGGAGGGUGCAAGCGUUAAUCGGAAUUACUGGGCGUAAAGCGCACGCAGGCGGUCUGUCAAGUCGGAUGUGAAAUCCCCGGGCUCAACCUGGGAACUGCAUUCGAAACUGGCAGGCUAGAGUCUUGUAGAGGGGGGUAGAAUUCCAGGUGUAGCGGUGAAAUGCGUAGAGAUCUGGAGGAAUACCGGUGGCGAAGGCGGCCCCCUGGACAAAGACUGACGCUCAGGUGCGAAAGCGUGGGGAGCAAACAGGAUUAGAUACCCUGGUAGUCCACGCCGUAAACGAUGUCGAUUUGGAGGUUGUGCCCUUGAGGCGUGGCUUCCGGAGCUAACGCGUUAAAUCGACCGCCUGGGGAGUACGGCCGCAAGGUUAAAACUCAAAUGAAUUGACGGGGGCCCGCACAAGCGGUGGAGCAUGUGGUUUAAUUCGAUGCAACGCGAAGAACCUUACCUGGUCUUGACAUCCACAGAACUUUCCAGAGAUGGAUUGGUGCCUUCGGGAACUGUGAGACAGGUGCUGCAUGGCUGUCGUCAGCUCGUGUUGUGAAAUGUUGGGUUAAGUCCCGCAACGAGCGCAACCCUUAUCCUUUGUUGCCAGCGGUUCGGGAAC
rnacentral:rRNA from 1 species